UUAGUGGCGGGCGGGUGAGUAACGCGUGGAUAACCUGCCGUAUACAGGGGGAUAACACUUAGAAAUAGGUGCUAAUACCGCAUAAGCGCACGGUUCCGCAUGGAACAGUGUGAAAAACUCCGGUGGUAUACGAUGGAUCCGCGUCUGAUUAGCCAGUUGGCGGGGUAACGGCCCACCAAAGCGACGAUCAGUAGCCGGCCUGAGAGGGUGAACGGCCACAUUGGGACUGAGACACGGCCCAAACUCCUACGGAAGGCAGCAG
rnacentral:rRNA from 1 species